rnacentral:rRNA from 1 species
GGCGGCGUGCUUAACACAUGCAAGUCGAACGAGAACAUGCAGUAGCAAUACUGUGAUGCUAAGUGGCGCACGGGUGAGUAAUGUAUAGGUAACAUGCCCUUAAGAGGGAGAUAACAGAGGGAAACCUCUGCUAAUACCCCAUAACCCUUCUUAUCAUAAGAUAAGUUGGCAAAGUUUUUUCGCUUAAGGAUUGGCCUGUAUAGUAUCAGCUUGUUGGUGAGGUAAUGGCUCACCAAGGCUAUGACGCUUAACUGGUCUGAGAGGAUGAUCAGUCACACUGGAACUGAGACACGGUCCAGACUCCUACGGGAGGCAGCAGUGGGGAAUAUUGCACAAUGGGGGAAACCCUGAUGCAGCAACGCCGCGUGGAGGAUGACACUUUUCGGAGCGUAAACUCCUUUUCUGUUAGAAGAUAAUGACGGUAUAACAGGAAUAAGCACCGGCUAACUCCGUGCCAGCAGCCGCGGUAAUACGGAGGGUGCAAGCGUUACUCGGAAUCACUGGGCGUAAAGAGCGUGUAGGCUGUUUAGCAAGUCAGAAGUGAAAUCCUAUAGCUCAACUAUAGAACUGCUUUUGAAACUGCUUAACUAGA